rnacentral:rRNA from 1 species
GGAAUUUUGGGCAAUGGGCGAAGGCCUGACCCAGCAACGCCGCGUGAAGGAUGAAGUAUUUCGGUAUGUAAACUUCGAAAGACUAGGAAGAAUAAAUGACGGUACUAUUUAUAAGGUCCGGCUAACUAAGUGCCAGCAGCCGCGGUAAUACGUAGGGACCAAGCGUUGUUCGGAUUUACUGGGCGUAAAGGGCGCGUAGGCGGCUCUGUAAGUCACUUGUGAAAUCUCUGAGCUUAACUCAGAACGGCCAAGUGAUACUGCAGUGCUAGAGUGCAGAAGGGGCAAUCGGAAUUCUUGGUGUAGCGGUGAAAUGCGUAGAUAUCAAGAGGAACACCAGAGGCGAAGGCGGAUUGCUAGGCUGACACUGACGCUGAGGCGCGAAAGCCAGGGGAGCAAAC